UGCCUGUACCAUAACCGACACAGGUGGGUAAGUAGAGUAUACUAAGGGGCGCGAGAUAACUCUCUCUAAGGAACUCGGCAAAAUAACUCCGUAACUUCGGGAGAAGGAGUGCCUUAUUCUUAAGGUUGCAAUAACAAGAUCCAAGCAACUGUUUAUCAAAAACACAGGUCUCCGCUAAGUCGUAAGACGAUGUAUGGGGGCUGACGCCUGCCCAGUGCCAGAAGGUUAAAGAAGUCGGUUAGCAAUAGCAAAGCUGGUAACUGAAGCCCUGGUGAACGGCGGCCGUAACAAUAACGGUCCCAAGGUAGCGAAAUUCCUUGUCGGGUAAGUUCCGACCCGCACGAAAGGCGUAAUGAUUUGGAUGCUGUCUCGGAGAGGGGCUCGGUGAAAUAGACUUGUCUGUGAAGAUGCGGACUACCUGCACCAGGACAGAAAGACCCUAUGAAGCUUUACUGUAACUUGAAAUUGAAAUUGGACUUUAUUCGCGCAGUAUAGGUGGGAGGCGUUGAUUAUAAUCUUGUGGGAUUAUUGGAGCCAUCAGUGAGAUACCACUCUUGUAAUGUUAGAUUUCUAACUUUGAAUCAUUAUCUGGUCAAAGGACAGUUUCAGGCGGGCAGUUUGACUGGGGCGGUCGCCUCCUAAACGGUAACGGAGGCGUACAAAGGUUUCCUCUGAACGGUUAGAAAUCGUAUCUAGAGUGUAAAGGCAUAAGGAAGCUUGACUGUGAGACCUACAAGUCGAGCAGGGACGAAAGUCGGUCUUAGUGAUCUGACGGUACUGAGUGGAAAGGCCGUCACUCAACGGAUAAAAGUUACUCUAAGGAUAACAGGCUGAUCUCCCCCAAGAGUUCACAUCGACGGGGAGGUUUGGCACCUUGAUGUCGGCUCAUCGCAUCCUGGGGCGGUAGUACGUCCCAAGGGUUGGGCUGUUCGCCCAUGAAAGCGGUACGCGAGCUGGGUUCAGAACGUCGUGAGACAGUUCGGUCCAUAUCCGGUGUAGGCGCUAGAAUAUUGAGAGGAGCCUUCCUUAGUACGAGAGGACCGAGAAGGACAUACCUCUGGUGUACCAGUUAUCGUGCCAACGGUAAACGCUGGGUAGCUAUGUAUGGAGUGGAUAACCGCUGAAAGCAUCUAAGUGGGAAGCCCACCUCAAGAUAAGUAUUCUCAUCACGUAAGUGAGUAAGGUCACGGUAAGACUAACCGUUUGAUAGGCAUUAAGUGUAAGUACUGUAAUGUAUGUGCUGAGAUGUCCUAAUAGACCGAGGACUC
rnacentral:rRNA from 1 species